ACAGCUAUCGGUUGCUGAAGCUGUUGUUAGUACCCCUUCUCCGUUGGUGUGUCUGGCAUUUUGUUGUCGUUUUUCAUAAAAUCAUUCCUUCCGAUAAUAUCACAUAACGCGUCGGCUACGCAUCUACCGAAGGCAGAAAACGAAGUUCGGUACGGGAAGCCUGGCCUGAAACCGUCUCUGAGCGAAGGGACUUUCCUCGGUUAUAUCUGACUCCGGUAGAACUAAUUCCGUUGCCACCGCCGCCGCCGCCGCCGUGGAGGUCAAAGCCAACGAUAUGCAUGUAGCACCAGAACGAUACACAGCAGCGGCAACGAGCACAAGUUACCGUCUAAACGGCAAGAAACGGAGAAAAAGCAAGCGGGAGACGACGGAAAAGCCGCCAGAAUUGCGCAACCCUUCAUCGUCACAUGCUGAGAUUGCUAUUGCAGCUAGCACCGCGUUGGCGAGGUCGUCUUUAACAUUUUUCGCCGAUUUCGACCCCCCGUAACCAUCCGGGCUGGGCUGCGAGAGCGUCCAGCUCGAAAAGGCAAUCGCUACCGGUAUCAGACGCGUCGAGUAUUUGAGAUGGUUGUCGAAUCGAGCCGGUCAAAGCAAUGCGAUGCGGCGUAAGGUAGGGCUCAGUCGGAAGUGACCAGUUUCGCCGUUGUUGCUUUUGUUAUUUAUACUGCUAUUUCUACUGUCGCUAUACUUGUCAAUUACUGCAAGUUUGUGAUGUAUGUAUGUAACAGUGACCACGUCCAAUACCAAACAAGGAACAAAGCAGCUCGUAGUGGAAAGACGAACGACAGAGCGAUCGACGGAACCUAAAACAUCUUCGCGUUUCGCUUCGUAUUGAACCGUGUGUCCGAACCACCUCAGACGACAUAUCUGUAGUAAAUAAUCUGGCAACGCUGUUGACUACAAGGAACUUUCGGUGACAUUAUCGGAAGAAUUCUCGGUGCCACUGUCAUCUCCAACUACUUUUUGAUCGACUUCAAAAAUGAAAUCUACUAACAACAAUAGGCGCAGCGGAGAAAGCGGCCGCAGAGGAAAUUGGUGGAAAAAUUGAAAAAUACGAAGCUGAAUUUUCACGGUUUGGUCGUUGUCAUAGUUUGCUAAAUCAGUCGUCGGAAUGGUCUUCUCUGCCCCGUCUUUGACCAUCUUCCUACAGACUUUAGUUGCCGCUGCAAGAAAAAAAACCGUCAUCCUCAGUUUGAGGAGCACUAGCAAAAUCAUUAUCUGGCUGUCUGCAAAACGGUUGUCGUCGUUACACGCAACGAAGCCGCCGUUGAAACGGAAAGCAACAAUGACAACAACAAAUAGAGUUAAAUAGCAGACGUCGCGAUAGCCAUGGCAUCGCCCCAGAACGACACGAGAGCAAGAUCAAUUGGGUUGUCAUUAUGGAUUUCCACAGCGAUACACGGAGAGAACACUUGCACGAAACGAGAGGAGAAAAAGCAGACUGACAGCAAGUCCCGUAGCAAGGACCACACCGACAUUCAUCUGGAGUCGAAUAAAGAUACUGUGUAUCAUUUAUAGAGCGGCCCACAAAGCAGAGCUGUCAGUUGACCGGAGUUAAAAUGACGAGUGAACAAAAUAUUUCAACGGCUCUUCAUUUUCCCACUGGGUCUGUCGGGUUCGUAUUCAGCUCCCUCCGUUUAUUUAAUCUCUCCUUCUCAAUGUUGGUCUCCCUUCGCCAUCGUUUGCCAACUCUCAGAACACAUAAAUGCUAUCAUAACCAUGAUGAUUAUUACUGCUACAAUUAUUGAGAUUUUUAUGCUUUCUAUGUUUUAGGCUGAUUUUGUGUUUUCGGGUCUAUACGCUACUACCGUUCAUUUUGAGCUGGGCGUCUGUUGGUAGCUUCGCUAUCACGAAGUCGUUUUAGGGGUACCAUUGCCCUGACAUGAGUUUUUGAGUAGUUUAGGACCGCUGGAGCGUCCGAGAGCCGCCAGCAACACUAUCAACAUCAUCAUUAACAAGAAGCGCGAUGGUAAGGCAGCGACGAUGCGAGACAGAUUGAUGGUAGACACUGCGAAGAAGCCGCAAUAUAAGCUAUUUGAAUGUUUACUCGCUUGGUUCGUUGACGUCCCACGUGUUUUUAUGUAUACGGCCAUUCCGUCCUGUCGGCGACUUUUCCGCCGUAUCUGUCCACAGAAAGGUGGUCUCGCCUAACUGGUACCGUGGUGCCUGGUAUGCAAUACCGUACAAACUUCAAUCUUUAUUUCGAAAUCAAUAAAAGGUAGAAAUAGUGGCGCGAGCCUACGCAUAGGCAGUACGCUAAUAUCAUGGCGGCGUCCAGUUUUGCUGUGAACAAUCUGAAUCCGGUCUAACAACAAUUCACAGAAACUGCAGUCCAAUCCAGAUCCGACAAAUGACCAAUUCCGUUGACAGCGAGGCGAAACAGCCAGCUUAAAUUGUCCCUUUUGCCGCAUAUGAACGUCGCCGCUGGUUGCAAAAUACAGGCGUCAUUGAUGCUUAUGUUUAUGUCUAUCGUAAACUGUGUGUAUAUUCUUUUCCUGCGAAAUAACAACAAUAACGCAAGAGCCGGCCACAAUUGACUAGGUAGAAGAUAAAAGCAGUAAAAAAGCAGUUACACCCAACUGGAAACCGCUGUCGUCACCAACAAUUUUAAUCGUUCGUCUUUUUCUUGUGUCGAUCCCAUCUUCAUGAUGGGACGGGAGCAAGAAAAUGUCCAUACGACUUUUGGUUUUCUUUAUGUCUACGCCGCUGUCUCUCAACUCCAUGUCCUAUUAUUGGCCUGCCUGUUUAACCGCCCUCUGAUCUGGUUCGUGGCUAUCAUCGAACUUCAACUCUGCCAUAUAAUCAUAGCUAUACACAGAACGAUUUUAUGAGCGCACAAACUCUAAAUGAGCUUCGUUGC
rnacentral:lncRNA from 1 species